rnacentral:rRNA from 1 species
AUGAUGAAGGAACUAGGUCUUCGGGAAGAGGACCUAGACAAUGUGGUUUUCAACGAAGACGAGGCCCCGAAGGAGGCGGCACGAUGGAUAGCGCUGGCCAGGGUUCACUCGCCAAAGACAUACAGCCAAUAUUGGUUUUUCAAAAACAUGAGAGCUGCGUGGGAUCUAACCCAGGAGGUGCAGUUCAAACCUCUGGAAGAUAAUCUAUACUUUGUGCAGUUUUCUUGCUUAGGUGAUUGGGAA